CACUCAUGCACGGACACACACAUGGACACACACAUGCACACACACACACAUGCACAUGUGCACACACAGAUUCACUUCAAGGAACUGGCUUAUGUAACUGUGGGGGCUGGCUAGGCAAGUCUGAAAUCCAGGGCAGGUGUCAGGCUGGAAACUCUCAGGCCAGAGCUGAGGCUGAGUCCACGGGUGGGAUUUCUCCUUCCUCGGGGAAGCCUCAGUUUUGCUCUCAAACCCUUCAACUGACUGAACCAGGCCCACCCAAGUUAUGGAGGAUAAAUCUCCUUUAGUUAAAGUUGAUGGAUUGGCGAUGUUAAGCACAUUUAUAAAAUGCCUUCACGACAACAUCCUAAGUAGUGUUCACUUGAAUAACUGGGUCCUAAGGCCUGGUCAAGAGGGCGCAGAAAACUAACCCUCACAGACAUGAACGGAGCUCAGAAGGUACUGACACAAAUUAGUUAGAAAGAGACAAACGGCCCAGUAGGACAGUGGGCAAAGGCUGUAAAGAGGAGAGGCGCGGCUGAGGGGAUCCACAUGGCCCACCAGGUAAAGUCAGUUAAAACCCCCGGGGCCAGAAUGCCGUUUCCUCAUAAGGGCUGUUUCCGGAGUGCUGGUGACAUUUGAUUUCCUGCCCGGGAGAGCGCUUGCAUGGGUGUGCAGUCACAGCUAGUUAUUAAACUGUGCGUAAAGGCUCUCGGGGCCCUGGGGGCAGGCUCUGGGUUCUCAGUAAGCGAGUAGGGGGACCACAAGCUGGCACUGGAUCCUCGGGGUCUGACCACAACAGGCUGUGGGGGCGUCCUGCAGCCUCAUCCUCCUGAGCAGGAUUCCUGCCUCUCAGGUGUCCACCAAAGUACCCUGCGCUUGUGACACGGCGCCCUCAGGUCACACUGGUGAUUGCUGCUGCUGCCCCAACCCGCUAGCCAGGCCAGAGACACCUUUGGCAAGGCACGGCUGGGCCAGGAUAAUCGGCAAGUUUCAGGCCAUAAGCUUAUUUUGCCCAAAAGCAGUCAAAUUAGUCUAAGGCAGUCCCUCUGAAUUCCAGGGAAUCCCUGCACACUCUCACACACGUGUGAAUGCCUCAGAGCCCUCGGGGAGCCAUUUGGUGCUAUCAGGAAGUCAUCAAUAAAAUACCUGAAGAGAAGACAAGGAGAAAGGAUGACUAGGCCAAAGCUAGUGAGGCCUCUGGAUUGAAAAGGCAAGAGGAAAACGCAGGCAUAGAUAUAAACAGG
rnacentral:lncRNA from 10 species